CAUUUGAUCUUGCACCUGUGCACAAUUGUCCUCCCUUGCUCCAUUCCCACCCACUGAGCAAGCUGAAGGACACAUUAGAUGACUGCUAGGUGUCCUAGUUAAUGAGGUUGGGGUUGAUUUAUGUAAUUCUUCUAACUCCUGAUUGUAAUGCUGAACAUUUCUGCAUAAGAGGAGCAGGAAGGGCUUCUGAGACAACUGUGUGGACCCAUGAAGUUACGAGGCAGAGACGGCUACUCCUUCGCCUGGUAUGUGCCCGUACUGGGUGGUUCUUCCCAURGAAUAUUUCCAGUUGAGACUGGAACAAAUGGAGCGGGCUGCUUUUUCAGCUAUACUAGUGUGCAUGAGGAGUCACCUCCGCCAAGCCAGCACUUCCUAAAGCACAAAGCUGGCAUAAGCAAAAGCAAYGCGGGACCAAACAGAUGUCUCCUGAAGGAAGGCCUGAGCUACCAAGGUGCAUCGCAGUUUUACUCUCCAUGAAAUUAAGAUCUUUCCAGUACCCUGCAAAAAGGCCAAUGGAAAGCAUAAACUGCCCGGAUUCUGGUGCUUUGCUAAUAAGAACAUGGCCAAAAUAUUUUUGGAUGAGCUAGGAAUGAUAAACCUCUACAGAGGAUUGUGCAGCUCUCCAUCUGCCAUUUCCGUCUUCGACUUCCAAGGCAUGGAGAUGCUACAGGAAGGUUUUAGUGUUGUCUUUUUUGACUGAAAUGCAAUUUUGCUGUUUACACUUGGGUCAUGUAACCAGGCUUUUCUUUGCUCGGUACCUUUCCUUGUAUUUGCUUCUGUUUCCUAUUGCAUUUAAGGGCUCCAGAGGCAGACGGCCAAGAUCAGUGGAUGGGAACAUUCAAGUUAGUGCUUUGUUUGAUUCAUGGCCAUGACAUUUUAUCAUCAGCCAGGCUUAUAUGAACGUGAGGUAUUCCCAGUGCUCGGGAAAGUUGGAUUUGCUGCCUUUGGGAAUGGAGCACCACUCUGAGGAAAGCAGGGAAGAAGAGGUCCCCUCUGAAUAGGCUAGGUUUUAAGCUAGAGAAAUGAGGUGACAUGAAACUAGGCUCAGCUGCUCCAAUUUAUUUCAAAAAGGCAAAGCAGAGGGGACAACAAGAAUUUUAGUCACUUCUAAAAUGGGGCAGACAUGAACUAAUAAGGUAUAAAUCUAAAAAAUUCUUAUAUCUCCCUAAAUAGCAACUUCCUAGUGACUAAGGUUUUAUUUAUCUUCCUUAUCUCUCUGAUAGCACCUAUGAACACCUACAAAGUGCUGCCCAGAUGUCACUGUAAUGCAGUAUAAAGUACAGAAAAAUGCAGAGUUUGGAUAUUUUGGAUGUCAAUGCCAAGUAAAUAGAAGGUUAUGGAAGGACUUUUUUGAAAGUAAGGGAUUCAUAAUACUCUUGUGAGUUAGGGUUAGUAAUUACUGUGUGCCUGCUAUACAUAGGAAAGCUAAUAUAUAKAGAGAGAAUUAAGCAACAAGUUGGUAUUCCAAAGUGGCAUGUGUUCGAACAGAAUUUGUGGCAAAAAGCAACAGACCCAAACCCCCUAAGGAAGUCACUGAAUUUUAAUUUUAGAUAAAAACGGUAACUUUCUAGGAAACCUGAGGAAGCUCUAUCAGUCAAAAGGUUUCUAAAUAAAUUUUAAGUGUCAUUAUGGCAACAGAGUUUGAGAAACAUUAAGUUUUUCAUUGAAAAUAGUUAUGUGGGGUCUCUGCA